rnacentral:tRNA from 1 species
AUUCAAUUAGUAUAGUUUUGUACGGGUAUUUUCCAAAUACCAAGAUUUAAUUAAAAAUAAAAUUGAAUA